UACGGAGGGGGCUAGCGUUGUUCGGAAUUACUGGGCGUAAAGCGCACGUAGGCGGCUUUGUAAGUUAGAGGUGAAAGCCCGGGGCUCAACUCCGGAAUUGCCUUUAAGACUGCAUCGCUUGAACAUCGGAGAGGUAAGUGGAAUUCCGAGUGUAGAGGUGAAAUUCGUAGAUAUUCGGAAGAACACCAGUGGCGAAGGCGACUUACUGGACGAUUGUUGACGCUGAGGUGCGAAAGCGUGGGGAGCAAACAGG
rnacentral:rRNA from 1 species